rnacentral:pre_miRNA from 1 species
UGUAGAGCCAAGUUUCUAACCCUAUACUUUUGAACCGGCGAGUUGGCCGCACGGAAAGAGUUUAGAAGAUUGAAUAGAUUUUUAAGCUCAAGCCCAUAUGACGAAUAGCAAAAAGUCCGUUUUCUUAAAAAGUAUCUUUCCGUGCGGCCAACUCGCCAGUUCAAAAGUAUAGGGUUAGAAACUUGGCUCUACA